CCUGGCUCUUUUUCUAAUUCCUUAUACUUGCCUUUAGGCUUGCUUGUUCCUUUAGGUCUUUACUGCAUCAUUCCAGAGAGACCUUCUGUGCCAUACGCUACAGUUCCACCCCCUCUUAUGCCGCUUAGCACUCACCAUUGCCCAACAUAGGAGCUGUUUUAUGUCUUCCUCUUGAUUCUCACUGUUUCCUGCUUUGGAGCAUAAGCUGGACAGAGAAUACCAUCGGAGCUCCUCUGGAACAUGUCCUUGUCUUCUCAGAGUGUGAAGUGUGUGUGUGACAGUGCUUUUCUGAGGACUCAGGUGACCUGGAGGCUGGAGAACAGCAUGGAGCAAGGAAAACAAAGACGAUGUGCUGGAGUGUAUGUUGCUUUCAUAAUUAUGUGAAAGAAAAUGUAGAGAAAUUUGAAAGAGAAAAGAUGGCUAUCCCGCCCAAUGUUUGGCCCCCUCCUGCAAAGGCCAAAACAUUCGUUGGGUUUUUCCUUUACUGUCUAAAUAAAGAAGAAUUUGUGCACAGUCUGAGUGGGUCAGGAUUUCAUCCCAUGGCCAUGUGGGAGCUCCAAGAUUUGAUCUCCGGGCUGACCUCCAGGGAGAAAGAGAAGAGAGACAUUUGAAAUACUCUUCACUUCAUCCUAAAGAGGGAGAGAAAAUCUUUUUCUGUCUGGUGUUUUUCAAAAUUUUGAUGAUGGACUCACAUCAAGGAUGAAGAGCUUUGAUGUCAUUUGAACACCACCACCAUCACCACCACCAGCAUCAACAAACAAACAAGCAAACAAGCGUGAACUCAGGAGCCCUGUGGCCCAGCCUCCAGUCCAUUUCCUCACUGUGAUCUGGCUAAGUCACCUCCCCUCCACCUCAGUUCAGUCACCUACACAACAGGAAUGGUGGCUCCUGGCGUGAAAAGUUCUUAGGAGCAUUCAGCAUGAUGCUGUGUGGAGCACUUGGAAACUGCGUGUGCAUCACCUCAUAUUUCUGGCCACAGGUCAUUCAGACAUCUGCCCUUUGCCCUGGAGGAGAACCACUAGGGACUUGUGCCCAUAAGCACCAAUUCUGGCUUUUACCCUACCCAUCCUUUGCCAUCCCAAACUAUGCCAUCAACAAAUUCUAGAAAUCAAGUUAGAAAUGCUGUUCCCACGAGGGUCUCUGUGGUCUCUCAGAACAACAAUCAGCUGGCCCUGCUGGGCAGAUGUUGCCCAAUCCUAACCCACACUUAGCUAUCAACUUAAUCAUUCUCAACUAAAAACACCUACCUGAACACUUUUAGGGGUUAAGAAUAGUAUAAUCUCACUUAGCCAUUUGCAUUUUUUCUUCUUUUUACAAAAAGAAAUUUAUCUUUUUUUUUUUUUGAGACGGAGUCUUGCUCUGUUGCCCAGGUUGGAGUGCAGUGGCGCAAUCUUGGCUCACUGCAAGCUCCGCCUCCUGGGUUAGCGCCAUUCUCCUGCCUCAGCCUCCCGAGUAGCUGGGACUACAGGUGCCUGCCACCACGCCUGGCUAAUUUUUUUGUAUUUUUAGUAGAGACGGGGUUUCACCGUGUUAGUCAGGAUCGUCUUGAUCUCCUGACAUCGUGAUUCGCCCUCCUCAGCCUCCCAAAGUGCUGGGAUUACAGGCGUGAGCCACUGCGCUCUGCCAAGAAUAGUAUAAUCUCACUUAGCCAUUUGUAUUUUUUCUUCUUUUUACAAAAAGAAAUUUAUCUCAUUAUUAUGUUUAAUCAGUUUCUUGAGGUAUAACUUAAGUGUGCUAAAAUUUGCUCUUUUUAGUGUACAGGUCUAGGAUUUUUGAGAAACACAUAUUCAUAUGUGACCACCCCCAUGAUCAACAUAUGGAACAGUCAUUUGCCACCCAAAAUUACCUUGUGCCCUUUUGUUGUCAGACUCUUCUUUCUCCAGACCCUGGCAACCACUGAUGGAUUUUCUGUCCCUAUAGUUUUGCCUUUUCCAGAAUGUUCUGCAAAUGUAAUCAUUUAGUAUGUAGCCUUUUAAGUCUGAUUUCUUUCACUCUGCAUAAUGCAUUUGAGAUUCACCCACGUUGUUACCUGUUACAAUGGUUUGUUCCUUUUUAUUGCGGAGUAAUAUUCCCUUGCAUGGAUGUACCACAGUUUGGGUAACCAUUCAACAGUCAAAUGAGAUUGAAUUUGUUUCCAUUUUUUGGUGAUUAUAAAUACAGCUAUAAACAUUUGUGAAAGUGUUUUGUAUGUACAUACAUUUUUCUUAGACAUUUGGUUUUAAGAGAUGUAUUUAGGUUUAGUUCCAGAUGAACAAUGAGAGACUGAAAGACUUAAGGGACCCCUGAGAAGAGCAGAGGGAAUAUUCCCUGAGGCAGCCAUCAGUCAGACCUGGCCCUGUCAUUUAAAUGUGGGCUAGUGGUAGCAAGAUGCUGUUAUUAUUUUCACCAAGGACAUUUUUUGAGUAGCAAUUAAAAUGAAGUCUAUUUCUCUGAGCCCCUGGAGAAGAACAUAAGCACAUGAUGGUAACCAUCAAUUUAGUGGGCCUAACGUUAUCUAGGUGGUUAAUGUUUCCAUGGCUUCUGGCAAUUCCCAGUGUAAGUCACCUGUGUAUACUGGGUGGAUGCUUCUUUAAAUUAAAGAUAAGCUGUUCAGCUUAAUAACAGCUAAGGGAGAAUAUAGAGCCCGUGGGUGAACUGUUUACUAACAAGCUUCUUCAGGGUCAUUCAACUUGAAUGAACUCUCUUUUAGGCUAACUUGGUUUGUGGAGGGAAUGCAUGUUUCUUAGUUAAAAUAGUUACAUUGGAAUCCCAACUGUGCACAGGACUUCAAGGGUAAUUAUGAACCCCCACUGCAGAUUUCAGGCUUAGCACCAAUUCUCCUUGCUUUCUACUUGUAUCCAUCAAAAACAGAAGUUACGAUGGAGUUACAGCUAUACUUGUAAGGGUCUCAGUGAACCUCUCCCACUAUUCUGCCUUAUCACCUUUGGGUUCCUGUGUUCUCUACCCCCUCCCCACUGCAUGUUUUCAUUCAGCCAGGAAACAUUUACUGCCUGCCUGGUAUCAAGCCCUUGCAUGAGGGUGGGAGCUCAUAAAGAUGACUACACUAGAGAAUCAUUUGACCUUUCUCAUGUAGACCUCAACAUGAAUGAGUUUCAAUGCUGAUAGGGCAAUCAUUACCUUCAGACAAAUUUUCAGGAACAGCCAAGACUAGAGAAUGUAUGGCUAAAACACAGCACUAUGCAUUUAUAAUAGUCAUGGGUUCUCCUGUUUUAAUUGUACAUGGAGAAUAUUUCAGCUUUAUUUGUAUGGGCUGCUCUUAUGUAAAACAUUAUUUCAAUGAGGAAAUGUGUUUGGGGUUCUAAAUGACUAACUUACAAACACAACUUUGAAUAAAGUCCAUGAAUAAUUUGAGGAUUUAUGUCUAUCAAUGGCUGAUUUACCAGAUUGUUGGCUUUGGGUUUAUUGGUAUCCAUGUUGAGAGGCAUCAGAUCAUCCAAGGUUUAAGUUUCGUCCUGACCACUGACUAGCAUUGAGACCUUAAUGGGAUUAAUAACAAUGAUAAUGAUAGUGACAAGAGCUAGCUUUUCAUGAGCACAGUGGCUAAGAGAGUUAGCAUCAGUUCUAGCUGCUUUCAUUGACAUAGAUGUAAAUGGGGAGGGAAACCAUGACUAGACUCAAAUCUCUGCUCUAACGUCUGAUACCUGAAUAUCACUUUGCAAGCCACGUCAUCUCUCUAAGUUGUAGCUCUUUGUCUGAAAAAUGUGGAUAGUUAAUACAUUAUAAAUAAAUUAUUAUUACAUUAAUACACAGAAAUUCAUAAUGCUAUUGUGGGGAUUACAUGAGAUGAUGGAAGUAUUUAAUCUAGUGUCUUGUAUAUGGCAAAUAAAAAAUAAAUAUUCACUGCUGUUAAU
rnacentral:lncRNA from 1 species